rnacentral:sRNA from 1 species
AGCUGAUGCAUUUCGUGGUUUCUCUCCCAGUACCACCGCAUUAGCUGUUCCCCUCUGGAGGUUUUUGACCUUCACAAUUCAAAGGGCCCUGGUUUUCCGGUGGCCCUCUUUU